rnacentral:lncRNA from 1 species
CUUCCCUUCGUGCAAAGGGCAAGGACUUUAUGAGCAGAGAAUGGCUGGGCUACAACAUGUGCCCUUGGCCAUGACUCUCCUUUAGACCAUGAGGUGAAACAGAACUCAAGAAGGCAGCAUGUCCAGGACAUCUGAAGCCACUCUGGAGCCGGAUGAAUCUAGAGAAAGAAACACCAGGUCCCAAUGCUCUCAGGAAGAGAAGAUGCUGGCAAGAGAGACUGGGGAUGGAGUCCGUCUGGGCAGACAAAAUUCAAAAUAGUGUUCCAGGCUGAGGGAACAGAAUAUGCAAAGGGUCCAGAGGUCCUUUUGAUUGCUGGACACAGCAUCAUGACCCUCGGAGAGAUGAAUGGCAGAACUCUGUUACUUCCAGCUUCUCUGAGAGGCGGUGGCCAGACAGGCCCACAUGGGGAUUGCAGCCGGGACAGGUAACAGCAAGCCAGGGCUGUAGGGGCAGCUUCUGUGUGGCAUCAGGUGGGGUUAGCUGGCUUUCGGGGGCUCCCUGUGGACUGGCAGUUGGAAUUAUGUUGUGGACUCUUG